rnacentral:lncRNA from 1 species
GAAAGAAAGAAAGAAACUGCAGGCAAAUAUCCAUGAUAAACAUUGAUGCAACAAUCCUCUACUAAAUACUAGCAAACCAAAUCAAUAACACAUUAAAAAGAUCAUUUGUCAUGAUGAAGUUGGAUUUACUCUAGGGAUGCAAAGAUGGUUCAACAUAUGCAAAUCAAUCAAUAUAAUACAUCAUAUCAACAGAAUGAAGGAAAAAAUCAUUUAAAUUGAUGCUGAAAAUGCAUUUUUUGAAAUCCCACAUCCUUUCAUGAUAAAUGUCCUGAUAAAUGAAAUUCAUGAUAAAUAAAUGAAAGUAAACAAUCAACAAAGUAAAGAGAAAACACACAGAAUGGGAGAAAAUAUGUGCAAACUAUUCAUCUGACAAGGGAUUAAUAACAGGAAAAAACUGGAUACAGAAGGAACAUACCUUAACAUAAUAAAAGUUAUAUAUGACAGACUCACAGCUAGUAUACUGCAUGGGGAACAAUUGAAAACCUUUUCUCUAAUAUCUGUAAGAUGACAAGGAUGCUCACUUUCACCACUGUUAUUCAACAUAGUACUGAAAGUCCUGGCUACAACAAUCAGACAAAAGAAAGAAAUAAAGGGCAUUCAAAUUGGAGUGGAAGAAGUCAAAUUAUUCUUGUUUACAGGCGAUAUGAUCUUCUAUUUUGAAAAUCUUGAAGACCCCAUCAAAAAACCUAUUAGAACUGAUAAAUAAACAGAGUAAAGUUGCAGGAUACAAAAAUCAACAUACAAAAAUUAGUAGCAUUUCUAUAUACCAACAGUGAACAAUCUGAAAAAGAAAUCCAGAAAGUAAUCCCAUUAUAAUACUACAAAUAAAAUAAAUUCAUAGGAAUAAGCUUCACCAAUGAAAUAAAAUAUCUCUAUAAUGAAAACUAUUUUAAAAAUAAUGAAAGAAAUUGAAGUGGUAACACAAACCUGGAAAGAUAUUCCAUAUUCAUCAAUUAGAAGAAUCAAUAUUAUUAAAAUGUUCUUACUACCUAAAGCAAUCUAGAGAUUCAAUGCAAUAUCUAUCAAAAUACCAAUGACAGUCUUCACAGAAGUAGAAAAAACAAUGCUAAAAUUUAUAUGGAACCACAAAAAGCCACAAUAGCCAAAGUUAUCCUAGCAAAAAUAACUAAACUGGAGGAAUUAUAUUACCUGACUUUAAAUUAUAUUACAAAGCUUUAGUAACCAAAAUAACAUGGUCCUGGCAUAAAAACAGAUGCAUAGACCAAGGCAACAGAAUAGAGAAUCCAGAAACAAAUCCAUACAUCUACAGUGACCUAAUUUUCAACAAAGGUGCCAAGAACAUACAUUGGGAAAAGGACAGUCUCUUCAAUAAAUGAUACUGGCAACACUGGAUAUCCACAUGCAGAAGAAUGAACCUAGACCCUUAUGUCUCACAGUUAAAAAAAUCAAAUCAAAAUGGAUUAAAGCCUUAAAUCUAAUACCUGUAAAUGUAAAACUAGUAAAAGGAAACAUUGGGUAAAAUUUUCCAGGACAUUGGACUGGGCAAAAUUCCAUGAGUAAUACCCCACCAGCACAGGCAAUCAAAGCACAAAUAAACAAAUAGGUUCACAUCAAGUUAAAAAGCUUCCGUACAGGAAAGUAAACAAUCAACAAAGUAAAGAAAAGACAAACAGAAUGGGAGAAAAUAUGUUCAAACUAUUCAUCUGACAAGGGAUUAAUAACCAGAAUAUAUAAGGAGCCCAAACAACUCAGGAAAUAAAUCUAACAAUUUGAUUUAGUAAUGGGCAAAUGAUCUGAACAGACAUUUCUAAAAGGAGCCAUACAAAUGGCAAACAGGUAUGUGAUCAGGUGCUUAACAUCACUGAUCAUCAGAGAAAUGCAAACCAAAACCACAGUGAGAUAGCAUCCCACCCCAGUUAAAAUGGCUUUUAUACAAAAGACAGACAGUAACAAAUGCUGGUGAGGAUGUGGAGAAAAGACAACGUUGGUACACUGUUGCUGGGAAUGUAAAUUAGCACAACCAUUAUAGAAAACAGUUGGGAGUUUCCUCAAAAAAACAAAGAGUGGAACCAACAUAAGAUCCAGCAAUCCAACUACUAGGUAUAUACCCAAAAGAAAGCAAAUCAAUACAUUGAGAAGAUAUCCUUACUCCCAUGUUUAUUGCAGCGCUAUUCACAACAGUCAAAAUUUGGAACCAGCCUAAUUGUCAUCAACAGAUGAAUGGAUAAAGAAAAUGUGGUACAUAUACACGAUGGAGCAGUAUUCAGCUAUAAAGAAUGAGACCCCGCAUUUGCAACAACAAGGAUGGAAUUGGAAGUCAUUAUGUUAAGCAAUAUAAGCCAGGCAAAGGAAGAUAGCUGAUUUUGGAAGCUAAAAUUAAAAUAAUUGAACUCAUAGAGAUAGAGAGUAGAAUAAUGGUUACCACAGGCUGGGAAGGGUAGUUGCAGGGAGAGACGGGAUAGUUAUUGGGUACAAAAAUAGUUAAAUAGAAUAAAUAAGAUCUAGUAUUUGACUAUAACAGGGUGACUACAGUCAAAAAUAAUUUAUUCUAUAUUUAGAAAUAACAAAAAGUAUAUAAUUUGAUUUUUCAUAACACAAAGAAAGGAUACAUGCUUGAAGUGAUGAAUAUCCCAUUUACCCUGAUUUGAUUAUCACACAGUUUGCCUGUGUCAAAAUAUCUCAUGUACCCCAUAAAUAUAUACACCUACUAUGUACUCACCAAGUGAAAAAUUAAUUAUAAAAAAAAAUUGACCCAGACUUUUGGCUUCUUUUCAAUCUAUAAUAGCACAGUUGAUUCCUGAGCUGUGAUGACUUUCCACUGACCAUACUACUGCAAUGAUGUUAUUCUGGGCCAAACUUCGGAAUCAAUUCUUGUCUGCUGCCUGAUUCAAUUAUUUUUAAUGCACCCUGUGGAUUUUUACUUGCUAAAGUAGAAAGAAGAUCCCAACAUUUGAUGAGAAAAUAUACAGAAGGGAGGCUGAUCCCGGGUGCACUGUGGCAGGUGGCAGUAUAGAUUUUUGUGAAGCAGCAGUGUGCUGUGAUAUGAGUAGCAGAUGAAGAAGGAAGGAAAUGAAGUCACUCAAUUCUUAUAUGGCAUAAUUACUCUUAUAUUUGGAAUCAACAUGUGGAAUUUCUAGAUGUUUGGAAUCACUGAUGUGAGAGAAAGAAUCUGCAUCACCUUGAAAUGGGAACUGUGGAAGUUUGAAUUUAAAGUACAUGGCAGAAGACAUGUCUAAGCAGUAAAGAAUUCAAGAAGUGACCUGGCUGCUUCUAACAACAUAACUCAAGGUGGAAGCAAUGCAAUGACUUAAAGAUUGAAGUUCUAUUUAAAGGAGAAGCAGAGCAGAAAAGUUUGGAAAUUUUCAGCCUAGUCAUGUGAUAUGGUUUGGCUCUGUGUCCCCACCUAAAUCUCAUGUCGAGUUGUAAUCCCCAUGUGUCAGGGGAGCCACAUGGUGGGAGGUGAUUGGAUCAUUGAUGUGGAUUUCCCCCUUGCUGUUCUCAUGAUAGUGAGUUCUCAUGAGAUCUGUCUCUCUCUCUUCUGCCUCUAUGUGAAGAAGGUGCUUGCUUCCCCUUCACCUUCCACCAUGAUUGUAAGUUUCCUGAGGCCUCCCAAUCAUGCUUCCUGUUAAGCCUGUGGAACUGUUAGUCAAUUAAACCUUCUUUCUUCAUAAAUUAUCCAGUCUCAUCUAGUUCCUUAUAGCAGAGUGAAAGCAAACUAAUACACCAUGUGGCAAAGAAAGAAAAAACUUCUUUGGGAGAGGAAUCCAAGCAGGCUGCAGAGCAACCACUUGCCAGAGAGAUUCAUAUGUUUCAUAGAGAGACAGACGCUGAUAGACAGGACAAUGAGAAAAGGCAUUUUACAGAUCUACAAACCAAUCUCUCCUAAAACAGACCCAGAGGUAUAGGAGAAAAGAAUGGUUUAGAGGGCAGGCCUUGCUUCCCAGCACCACUGCAGGAGGAUGCUACUUGUAUCCAGGUCUCUCCAACCUCAGCUCAAAGAGGCUUAAAUACGUUUUGAGCUGCUGCUUAAAAGGGUAGAAGCUGUAAGCAUUGGUGGCUUCAAUGUGAUGUUAAUCUUGCAGGUGUUUAGAUGUAAGAAUGAAGGAGGCUUGGCAGCUUAUCCCUAGAUUUCAGAGGAUCUAUGAGAAAGCCUGAGUGCCCAGGAAGAAAUCUCCUGCAGGGGUAGAGGCCUUUCAAAGAACCUCUAUUAGGGCAUCAUGGAGGGGGAAUGCAGGGCUGGAACGCCCACAUAGAAUUGUCACCAUGGUACUGCCUAGUGGACCUAUGGGAAUGCUGCUAUUUCCAGACCCAAGAAUGGUAGAGCCAAUGGAAGCCUGCAAUUUGAAUAUGGAAAUGGCACAGACACCCAACUCCAACUCAUGAAAGGAGCCACAGGGUAUACACCCUGCACAGCCACAGGGUUGGAGCUGUCCAAGACCUUGGGAACCCACCCCUUGCACCAGUGGUUGCAAUGUGGGACUUGGAGCCAAAGGAGAUUUCUUGGAGCUUUAAGAUUUAAUGACUACUCUGCUGGGUUUCAGACUUGCAUCGGGUCUGCAGCCCCUUUAUUUUGGCCAAUUUCUCCCUUUUGGAAUGAGAAUGUUUACCAAAUGCCUAUAACCCCAUUGUAUCUUGGAAGUAAUAACUUGAUUUUUAUUACACAGGCUUGGAAGGAACUCAUCUACAGAGGAGGCUUUAGACUUGGGAAUUGGAACUUGAGACUUUAAAUUUAGUUGAUGCUGUAAUGCUUUAAGACUUUGGGGGAUUAUUUGAAAGGAGUGGAAUGAUAUUGUUUGAAUAUUUGUCCCCUCCACAUUUCAUGUAAAAGUGUAAUCCUCAAUUUAGGAAGUGGGGCCUGGUGAGAAGUGUUUGGAUUAUUGGGGGUAAAACACUCAUGAAUAGCUUGGUGCUGUUCUUAUGAUAGUGAGUAAAUUCUCAUGAGACCUGGUUGUUGAAAACUGUGUAGUACAUCCCCCAACCUUGCUCCUGCUCUUGCCAUGUGACAUUCUGGCUCCCUGUCACCUUUCAUAAAGAGUGUAAUCUUUGUGAGGUGUCACCAGAAGCACAUGCUGGUACCAUGCUUCCUGUAAAGACUGCAGAACCAUGAGUCAAGUAAACUUAUUUUCUUUGUAUAUUAGCCAGUCUCAGGUAUUCCUUUAUAGUAUCACAAACAGAGCAAUACAAGGACUUCCUUUUUAAUCACAUUGAUAAAUUUAUUCUAGAAACACUUAUUUAGUUAUGAUUAUUUGGGAUUCAACCGUAUACAUAAUUGUAUGUUCUGCCCUCUUAGAUAUUCCAUUCUAGUAAACAAAACAGACACAUAAACAAGGAAAUGAUGGUAUGUGGAAUAAAGUGUUAUAAAGGAAACAAAGAUAGCUGUCAGAUAGACAUAACAUGGAUGUAAUUUUUGAGAUGAAAACUUUAGUUAAUGUUAAUAGGAAAGCCACUCUGUGGAGGUGGCAUUUAAGUUGAAACCUAAAAAGAAAAAAGGCGUGACUAGGAAUUAAUGGUUAAAUUUCACUGUCCCUUUCUUUAAAUCGGACUGUAAGAGAAAUUG